GACAGAGGGUGCAAACGUUGCUCGGAAUUACUGGGCGUAAAGCGCGUGUAGGCGGCUUUGUAAGUCCGAUGUGAAAGCCCUUCGCUCAACGAGGGAAGCGCAUUGGAUACUGCAGAGCUCGAGUCCUGGAGGGGAGAGCGGAAUUCUCGGUGUAGAGGUGAAAUUCGUAGAUAUCGGGAGGAACACCAGUGGCGAAGGCGGCUCUCUGGACAGGUACUGACGCUGAGACGCGAAAGCAUGGGGAGCAAACAGG
rnacentral:rRNA from 1 species